UUCUCAUCUAGUUCUCUACUACUCCACAACCACAGUAAUCACGUUGUUAGACUUCUAUGGCUGCAGCAGCUUCACUCUCUUUCUCUUUGGAUCCACACCGCCAUCUCUCUUCCAAUCCCCACUUCACUCCCUCAACCUCACUUCUAAUCCCCAAACACUCUUUUAGAAUCUUCCAUAACUCCAAUCGUUACACUCUCAAAUCUUCUUCUUCUUCUUCUCAUUCUCAUUCUUCUACAGCUACUUCUCCGAGCCCACCAUCACUACCCAGCUCUUCAUUUCUCGAAGCCCCACUCAGAACCGGCCGGUUUCUCAGCAAUGAAGACCUCGAGAAGCUCAAGUCGCUCGAGAAUUUCAGGUACUAUCAGGAACUGGAGUCCGGGUCGAUGUGGGUUCGGGUCAUGAGGUCGGAGGAGAUGGACAUCACUGUUGGGCUUUUGGCCGAGUCGUUUGCCGAGUCGAUGCUUCUGCCUUCUGGGUAUGUGGUUCUCUUGGGCUUCUUGGUCAAGCAGUACUUGAUGGAGCGAAGGGAGUUGAUGCCCCACACCGCCACGCUUAUUGGGUUUUACAGAAGCAACAAGGAUGAGGCUAAAGAUGAGAGCUUUGAGGAUAAAGGUGAGAGCUUUGAGGAGAAAGAUGGAGGCUUUGGAGGAGAAGAUGAAGAUGGGGUUUUGGCGGGGACUGUGGAGGUUUGCUUUGACAAGAAGGGUGCCAAUGCUUCUACUCCUACGCCAACUCCGCCCAAGAAUUCGCCUUAUAUAAGCAACAUGGCUGUGAAGAAGUCGCUUCGGAGGAGGGGCAUUGGCUGGCAUCUUUUGAAGGCAAGUGAGGAAUUGAUUUCUCAGAUGAGUUCUUCAAGAGAGGCGUACUUGCAUUGCAGAAUGAUCGAUGCAGCUCCAUUCAACAUGUAUACAAAAGCAGGUUACAACAUUGUAAAGACAGAUAGCAUUUUGAUACUACUGACGUUGCAGAGGCGGAAACACUUAAUGUACAAGAAACUUCCAGUCUUGACCAGCUUUUCAGAAUCAGAAACUUUGUGUUCUGAAGAGGAUGAAAAUCACUAUUGAAUAUGUGAAAUACAUAAUGUGUGGUUUUUAGGAUAGCUUGUCACAGACCUUUGAGGGGGUGAAGAUUAUCGAGCUGAUUGAAGUUUGGCUAGAGGCUGCUUGACCCUAUGUUCCAGCAAGUUGUGCUUGCUUUGUGUACACGUAUGGUAGAGACUUGUUUUGUUGCAGUCUCCACCCUGCAAUUAGUACGUGUGUACUUUAGGCGGCCACUCACAAGCCUUUUGCAUUUGUAAUGAUAAUCAACUGCAGUUCUUUUACACAUUCAGCCAUGGAGGGUCUUUCACUGCUGUCAGGACGCACACAUCGUGAUGCCAGGUUUGCAAACAUAACUAUAGAUUCCAUGGUGUAUGAACUUCGACCCAGCUCAGGAUCAAUGACCUUACGCAGCUUCUUCCGAUCAUUUAAUAUGUGCUUUACCUGAGAUAUGAAUUAUGGCCAUAUCUCAUUGCGAGUGUCGCUUAACUAGUACAAGCAAGAAUGGGAAAUUUAUCCUACCUGUAGUACAAGAUUUUGAUCAUUUGGUCCUUGGUUUAGGUCCAGGGCUUGACGUCCGGUCAGAAGUUCAAGAAGAACCACUCCAAAUGCAUAAACAUCACUCUGUAAAGUGAGUUUUCCUGUCUAUUGCCAAAUGCACCUCUUGUCAUAUAAGUGUAAAGUUCUUUAAGAGAAAGAUGAAAAUGUACACAAAUAUUUCAUUUAAUCAUGUGUUGUUUGAGUUAGGAUGAUUUUAUCAUGUUAUACAAAUAUUUCAUUUUAUAA